rnacentral:lncRNA from 1 species
UGAGGCCCUUUUUGGAGAGCAAGGUCUCACUCCUGUCUCCAAGGGCCGUACUGGGCUGGUCUCAAGAUGCCAGACUCAGUCCAACAGGCCCCACAGGACCUCGUAAGAGACACUGGACAGAACUUCCAAAAGCUUGUCAGGGAACUGCACUCUCAAGACUCCGCUGAGGCCAAGGCCUACCUAAGGAUUCUUGGAGAUAAAGUUGGAUACAUCAAGUCCAGUGAGAUGGAGCACAUGGCCCCGACCCUAGCUAUGCCAUGCAGUCUCUGAUGUCCAGCACUGACAAUGAGCUCAUUGCCCACUAUAUCUUCCUGGAUUAGAGUUUUUCCCUUCCCUCUGUGUCUGCCUUACCCCUGAAAUUCUCCUUGUCUGGUGUCUUCGCCCCUGGAGCUAAGGGAGGUCUGAACUUUUCCCCUGUCAUG